rnacentral:lncRNA from 1 species
AUGAAUUAUAAAUAUAAAUCAUGAUAUUUAUUGAUUAAAUCUAUUAUAGAUACUAUUGAUGCAUUAUCAAAAGCAUUGAUUUUAUUAUAGAGUUGUAAUCAAUUGACUUUGAUUUCAAAUAGUUUUAUGUAUUUGUUCGAUUGAAAUACGAAAUUGAAUUUAUCGAAGGAAAAGAUUUGAAUUGAAAUGAAUUUUAACUCACAGCCUGACU